rnacentral:rRNA from 1 species
GACGAACGCUGGCGGCGUGCUUAAUACAUGCAAGUCGAGCGGAAAGGCCCGGCUCUUGUGGCGUGCUCGUGAGCCGCACACGUGUGUGUAACGCGUGUAAACUCCCCCUGUCAGUGGGAGAACUCCUGGGGAAACGGGCUCUAAUACCGUAUAAACUCUUGAAGCACAGGGUUGAUGUGUGAAAUUCGGCGGUGUGGGAUGGAAUGGAGGUGUCUCAGCUUGUUGGUGGGGUAGUGGCUUAAAAGGGCUUUGACGGGUAGCCGGCCUGAGAGGGUGACCGGCCACAAUGGGACUGAGAUACGGCCCAGACGGAUACGUCAGGCAGCGGUGGGGAAUAUUGCGCAAUAGGCGGAAGCCUGAUGCAGCAAUGUCGGGUGCGGAAUGACGGCUUUUGGGUUGUAAACCGCUUUAGACUGUAACGAACAGUGAGUGACGGUAAUUAGUAAGGAAGCAACGGCUAACUACGUG